CUGGUCAUUUAUAACUUUUCCCACAGUAUUGACAUGUGUGAACUGUAUUGCCAUGUUUCCCUGCUUUGUGAUUCGCUAGGUCUUUAGAAGUUGCAAAUUCCUGAUUACACAAAUCACACUGAUACUUUUUGUUGUUUUCUUGGUGCAUAUUGUUUCAAAUUAUGUUUGUAAAAAAAUACUUUCUUAAAUUUAAAGGGCUUGUUGUUUAGGUGCUUGUUGACUUGGCCAUCAAAGAGUUGUUUUUUUACGAGGGCAAUUUUUUUUCGGUUCGUAUAUUGCUAUGAUAUCGUCAUCGUCUGCGUCGUCCGAAGACACAUUUGGUUUCCAGGCAACUACAAUUUAAGUGAAUGGAUCUAUAUAAAUUUUAAAUAAGGUUCAAUACCACAAAAUGAAGGUUGGGAUUAUUUUGGGAAGUGAUGGUUCCAACUUUUUACGAAAAAGGGGCAUAAAAGAAGCAUUCUUUUUAGUUUCAGGAUAAUUUCUUGUGUAUAAGAAUUUCGAUUGCUCUGAAAUUGUAAUACAGCGUUCAAUACCACAAGUAGAAGGCUAGGAUUCAUUUUGGGGGUUAUGGUACUAACAGUUUAGGAAUGAAGGAACAAAAAAAGGGACAAAAAA
rnacentral:lncRNA from 1 species